rnacentral:rRNA from 1 species
UGGCGGCGUGCCUAACACAUGCAAGUCGAACGGGAAAACAGGGGCAACUCUGUGAGUACAGUGGCGUACGGGUGAGUAACACGUGACUACCUACCCUCGAGUGGGGGAUAACCCCGGGAAACCGGGGCUAAUACCGCAUAACAUCGCAAGAUCAAAGGAGUAAUCCGCUUGAGGAGGGGGUCGCGGCUGAUUAGCUAGUUGGUGAGGUAAUGGCUCACCAAGGCGAUGAUCGGUAGCCGGCCUGAGAGGGCGCACGGCCACACUGGAACUGAAACACGGUCCAGACUCCUACGGGAGGCAGCAGUGGGGAAUUUUGCGCAAUGGGGGAAACCCUGACGCAGCAACGCCGCGUGGAGGAUGAAGUCCCUUGGGACGUAAACUCCUUUCGACCCGGACGAUAAUGACGGUACGGGUGGAAGAAGCACCGGCUAACUUCGUGCCAGCAGCCGCGGUAAUACGAGGGGUGCGAGCGUUGUUCGGAAUUAUUGGGCGUAAAGGGCGCGUAGGCGGUGCGGUAAG